GCCCCAGGUGCCAACACGUCCCCAUGACAGACGGAACUCACCCUGCAGCACCAGCCCAGAGGCAGCAUCACUUCCAGGGCAGAGGGAGAUGGGCAGUGAGCACAAGCCAGCCCCGUGACGCUACGUUGGGGCUGCGUUCGGACUUGACGGAGCCUCAAAGUGAAACGCAAUUAAUGUAAUAAAGACCAGCAGCCAGCACAUGCAUGGAGCCAGUCGGAGCAGCAGGGAUGGCUCCCCACGUUGCCCAAGCUCCAGGUGUUCCCUGCCUGUGCACAACAAGCAGCAGCUCUCCUCCCGUCUCCACUCCCUGGC
ensembl:lncRNA